rnacentral:lncRNA from 1 species
AGGCCUCACUGCUGAAUGACCCAGACUUUGCCCACAGCCUGUUGUGAAGGCUGACUUGCUUUCAGAAACAAGCCAUGCUGGAAGCUGAGCAUCCCAGAGGACUUCCCCAGGGAGCAGUUCAAUUUGCCCUGACUGCUGUAGGGGCUCACCAGAUGGAAAUCACAAGCAAUGGCCAUGAAAGCCCCACCACUGACUGAGGAAGGACAACUUAAGGCCACUUCUCUUCAACUUCCAUUCUCU